ensembl:snRNA U6 U6 spliceosomal RNA
CUGCUCACUUGGGCAGUACAUAUACUAAAACUGGAACAAGUCAGAGAUUAGUAUGGCCCCAGCACAAGGAUAACACACAAAUUUAUGAAGUCUUUUCUCUCUAU